rnacentral:rRNA from 1 species
UACGGGGGGGGCAAGCGUUGUUCGGAAUUACUGGGCGUAAAGGGCUCGUAGGCGGCCAACUAAGUCAGACGUGAAAUCCCUCGGCUUAACCGGGGAACUGCGUCUGAUACUGGAUGGCUUGAGUUUGGGAGAGGGAUGCGGAAUUCCAGGUGUAGCGGUGGAAUGCGUAGAUAUCUGGAGGAAUACCGGUGGCGAAGGCGGCAUCCUGGACCGGCAUUGACGCUGAUGAGCGAAAGCUAGGGGAGCAAACGGG